GUGCUUGCUUUCACAGCACAUAUACUAAAAUUGCAACGAUAAAGAGAAGAUUGGCAUGACUCCUGCACAAGCCAUACAAAUUAAUGAAGCAUUCCAUGUUUUU
ensembl:snRNA U6 U6 spliceosomal RNA